rnacentral:rRNA from 1 species
AAAACUUUCAACAACGGAUCUCUUGGUUCUGGCAUCGAUGAAGAACGCAGCGAAAUGCGAUAAGUAAUGUGAAUUGCAGAAUUCAGUGAAUCAUCGAAUCUUUGAACGCACAUUGCGCCCCUUGGUAUUCCGAGGGGCAUGCCUGUUCGAGCGUCAUCAC